GACGAACCGUGCGAACGUUGUUCGGAAUCACUGGGCUUAAAGGGCGCGUAGGCGGCAGAUCAAGUCCGGGGUGAAAUCCUCCAGCUCAACUGGAGAAGUGCCUUGGAUACUGAUUUGCUCGAGGGAGGUAGGGGUCGAGGGAACUUCUGGUGGAGCGGUGAAAUGCGUUGAUAUCAGAAGGAACGCCGGUGGCGAAAGCGCUCGACUGGAUCUCUUCUGACGCUGAGGCGCGAAAGCUAGGGGAGCAAACAGG
rnacentral:rRNA from 1 species